CACCGGCGCCACAAGUGGUAAUCGCUUUUAUUGGGCCUAAAGCGUCCGUAGCUGGUUUUGUAAGUCUCUUGUGAAAUCGUCAGGCUCAACCUGACGGCGUGCUUGAGAUACUGCAUAACUUGGAACCGGGAGGAGUCAGAGGUAUUCUGAGGGGAGCGGUAAAAUGCUAUAAUCCUCAGAAGACCACCCGUGGCAUAGGCGUCUGACUAGAACGGAUUUGACAGUGAGGGACGAAAGCUAGGGGA
rnacentral:rRNA from 1 species